rnacentral:rRNA from 1 species
GAUGAACGCUGGCGGCGUGCCUAAUACAUGCAAGUCGAGCGAACGGACGAGAAGCUUGCUUCUCUGAUGUUAGCGGCGGACGGGUGAGUAACACGUGGAUAACCUACCUAUCAGACUGGGAUAACUUCGGGAAACCGGAGCUAAUCCCGGAUAAUCUUUUGAACCGCAUGGUUCAAAAGUGAAAGACGGUCUUGCUGUCACUUAUAGAUGGAUCCGCGCUGCAUUAGCUAGUUGGUAAGGUCACGGCUUACCAAGGCAACGAUGCAUAGCCGACCGGAGAGAGUGAUCGGCCACAUGGGAACGGAGACGCGGUCCAGGCGCCUACGGGAGGCAGCAGUAGGGAAUCGGCCGCAAUGGGCGAAAGCCUGACGGAGCAACGCCGCGUGAGUGAUGAAGGUCUUCGGAUCGUAAAACUCUGUUAUUAGGGAAGAACAUAUGUGUAAGGAACUGUGCACAUCUUGACGGUACCGAGUCAGAAAGCCACGGCUAACUACGUG